GGCGGCCGGAACGUUUACUUUUUAAAAAUUAGAGUGUUCAAAGCAGGCUCUCGAGCCUGGAUAAUGGUGCAUGGAAUAAUGGAAUAGGACCUCGGUUCUAUUUUGUUGGUUUUCGGAGCGCGAGGUAAUGAUUAAGAGGGACAGACGGGGGCAUUCGUACUGUGCCGUUAGAGGUGAAAUUCUUGGAUCGGCGCAAGACGAACGACUGCGAAAGCAUUUGCCAAGAAUGUUUUCUUUAAUCAAGAGCGAAAGUCAGAGGUUCGAAGACGAUCAGAUACCGUCCUAGUUCUGACUAUAAACGAUGCCAACUAGCGAUCGGGGGGCGUUACAUUGACGACCCCUCCGGCAGCUUACGGGAAACCAAAGUCUUUGGGUUCCGGGGGAAGUAUGGUUGCAAAGCUGAAACUUAAAGGAAUUGACGGAAGGGCACCACCAGGAGUGGAGCCUGCGGCUUAAUUUGACUCAACACGGGAAAUCUCACCCGGCCCGGACACAGUGAGGAUUGACAGAUUGAGAGCUCUUUCUUGAUUCUGUGGGUGGUGGUGCAUGGCCGUUCUUAGUUGGUGGAGCGAUUUGUCUGGUUAAUUCCGAUAACGAACGAGACUCUGGCUUGCUAAAUAAUUACGCGACCAUCCCGGUCGGCGUUUAACUUCUUAGAGGGACAAGUGGCGUUUAGCCACACGAGAUUGAGCAAUAACAGG
rnacentral:ncRNA from 1 species